rnacentral:tRNA from 1 species
GGGGGUUUAGCUCAGUUGGUAGAGCGCCUGCUUUGCAAGCAGGAUGUCAGCAGUUCGAGUCUGCUAAUCUCCACUA